rnacentral:miRNA from 1 species
ACAUAUUAUGGGUCUCAGACGGAC